AGAGGUGGGGGCUUAGUUUAAUGUUUUGAAAAUGAAAAAUUGGUUUCUAGGAGAGCAAUGAUAAAGUGUUUGUAUGUGAUUAUAUAUUAUAUGCUGAGCAGAGGGUCUUGACCUCGAUAUCUGCUGACCCCCAAGGAUCAUUUAGUGUCAGUGUGAUUGAUUUGCAUUGGUUGUGUAAAUAUUUUAACUAUUUUAUGACACGACCGCGAGAACAACCGGAGAAAUGGAUACGUGAAAGGAAGAAUAUAGGUGUGGUCAUUCGUGCAACACAACUGACAAGAGAUAGUGACGACAAUGUCGAUGGUGUGAUGCGUGUACGUACGUAUAAAAACGAGAUGAAUUAAGCGAAAUGAGCGAUUUAGAAUUGAUUUUGAAAUUGUGUGUGCACGCACAAGGAGAAAUAGAAAUAGAGGGAAAUGAUGAAAGAGAGGGGAAAAAAAGAGAAAAAUACGAGAGAGAGAGAAGAGACAAAGAGAUAGUCAUGGAGUGAGAGGGCCGGUAGUGGUGGCGUUAAGGAUUGGGGAUUGCGACUGCGCUUGGGCUUGCGCGAAAUGUAGUAAACAUAGAGUCGCGCCGGCGAUAGCACGUUAAACAUAUCUCUCUCGUUGCUCGUCUCUGAUGAACAGUUUCAACGGCAUGGAGGGAACCAAUUUCCCCAGAACAAAAUACCUACGGAUCAAUGCGUGUGUGUGUAUGUAUAUAUAGACGUCAAUAUGUCCGUCGGUCUGUCUAUAUACAUCAUACAGACACGCGCGCCUACUAUCUCACCCUGAGUCGUACAGGUUAACGAGCAGGGCCUCUUGAAAUAUCUUUGCUGCUAUACAAUCUCCGAGCAAUGGAAGAAUAGGUAUUUCUUAAAUGAACAACCCGUUUUGUCUUUGUUAACUCUUUCAGUCACACCUAGUUUGGCGGAGUAAAAAGAAAAAUGGACGACAUGAGAGGAUCGUGACGUAAUUCGUCUUUCAACUUAAGGAUUCAAGAGUCAAACACAAUAUCUCAGGUACUUUUCACAGUAAAAAGAGUAAGUAGUACACAUCUAGUCCAGCUAUUAACUCUAAUUUAUCAUACACCAUUUAGUACCAUUACAGUUACUUAACAUACUACUACCAACACAUAAUAGAACUAUUACAAGGUUAUAUUGUUCUUAACAAUGGAAGAUUAAAACUGUUAAACGGUUAAUGGUAAAUUUGAGUUUUCAGGAUGCCAGCCUAUCAAUCAAUUGGUUUUCAUCCCAUCACUAGCACUGAUCUCUUUAAUGGUGAAAUCCAUGUAAUUGUAAAUCUUGGACAGACUACAGUUCACCAUUAUAAGCAGUUUAACCCUUUCAUUACUAUAUUUCUGUUGAAAUUCACUGUUUUUACUUCAAUAAAUUUUGAAAAUAAUGAAGGGUUUGAUAGAAUUACUUAAGCACUAUUAAUACAUAAAGCGUGAUGGGCCACGAUCGUUACUGUCAGGCACAGGUCAACAGGCCACAAUCAUGGCCCAUAUAGAUGCAUUUAAUUUAUGGGUGUUUGUUGGGGUCUAAUGUCUCUCAAACACUCCGAUACCCCCCAGAAUGCAAGAGGACUAAUAGUUUAACUAAUGACUUUUCAGAUGAUGUAAAACUUGCCACCAUUAUAUACUAAGAAGAUAUUUUAACUAUUUUUUUUUUGUUUUUUAUGUGUGCAUGGUAUCUCAUUUCCAUAAUAUGUGCUCAGCAGUUCAUGCAAUGUAAGUGCAAGUCCCAGCACUUUAUGGGUUAAAUUUGGAACAUGAAUUAAUUUGAAAUUUUUAGAGAAGGCUUUGAUUUAGAUCACUUAAAAACAGGAAUUUGUAUUGCAGAACUAGGAUGAUCUGAAGUGGGUUGGUAUAAAAAAAGGUGAAGUAAUGUUACUGAAACAUGGUUUCUUAGCUUACAGUACUAAGCUCAAAUCUUUCCCAGACAAGAAACCAUACAGGUGUAUUUUCACUUGACUCUUUGAAGCCUUUUGAGAACCCUGAUAACCUUGGAGAUUAUCAUGUAUUAUUUAUAGUUACAUUCCUAUAGCGAUUAUUCCUCAUGCACUAUCAGACCUCCUUGUAAAAAGUUAAUUCAAAAGAUUCUAACAUUGGUGCCACAUAAAAAUCACCCAGUACACUCUGUAAAGUGGUUGGCAUUAGGAAGGGCGGGCAGCCAUAGAAACCAUACCAAAACAGACAAUUGGAACUGGCUUACCAGCAUAGGAAAUUUAAAUGAUGAUGAAUUAUUCCUCUCUGAUUGAGUUCUUUCUGAAAUCUUUCUUUCAAUAAAGUUGAGAUUUAAUAAAUAAAAAAUCAUUAAGAAAGCUA